CUUACCUCGUGCCAGAGAGAAAAGUAUAUUCACCAUCAUCAACAUUUACAGGCCACCUCAUCCAGGCCACGAGCAUUUCUCCCUGCUCCAUCACACCUGAUACUCCUGAGAUUAGGGUAAGUGGUAUUGUGCCCCUUUUGCAGGUGGAGAAACUGAGGCCCAGGGAAGGCCAGUGGCUUCCCCAGGGACCCUUGGCAAGCAUCAGUUGAAGACAGGCAGCCUGGAGUUCAGAGCCCACUGACACGACGGGGUCUUCCCACCCAGGGAUCCAACUCUUGUCUCUUUCAAGAAAUCUGCUGCAUCGGAAGAAGAAAAUCUGGACACAGAGAUGGAUGCUCAGGAAAGAAGGCCCAUGAUGACGAGGCAGAGACUGGAGCGACACAGCCACAUGCCAAG
ensembl:lncRNA